rnacentral:lncRNA from 1 species
AAAGAGGCCCGCAGGAACACUGGGAAGAAGGGGUGUUUUGAGGGCGAGUUUCGCCUAAGAGUGGGCUGGUGGCUCCGAGCGCUUUUCCUCCCACUGCUUAACAGACGCUCCCCACCGAACACAGCAGCUGUUGUGCUUAGCAAGACCGGCAUCGCCUCUCCCAACCUCCCUACCCACCCUAACUCCCCCGCCUCAAGCCUGUUUGCAAGGAAGGAGGUCGGAAGUGAAGACUACUCAAGUUCCUGAGAUAAUUCGAAUCUGAAAUUUGUCGACGAGGAGCACCCAUCCGGAGGGGACCCUAAUAGGCUCUGAUGUGGUAGCCAAAAAAUGAGGGAAUGUUCCCAUUUUUUUUUUUACCAGAUUCCACUUUUUCUUGGAAACUUUCAUCACAGUUUUUUCCUCCUGAUCAAUUUCUUCUCGUCGGCACUCCAACUGUAAUCCCUCUGGUCAAAUACAUUAGACGUUCCAAACUGAAUAAAUCAAGGAUUUAAUGCGAUUGAUUGGGGUGACAAAUUCCAGGCAAGAGGAUUCAUGUCACUUUGAAAUUUGGGACUUUACCUUCUUCCUAUGUGUUAACCUUUUAUAUUACAUUCUUUAAGUCAAUGACAAAAUGUCACCUUCAAUGAGACAUUCUUUCUUUUUUCCCCCUGGAGGUGGGGCAAGGUACUGGGAGUUGAACUCGGGGGUACUCGACCACUGAGCCACAUCCCCAGGCCUAUUUUGUAUUUAGAGACAGUGACUCACUGAGUUGCUUAGUACCUUGCCUUUGCUGAGGCUGGCUUUGAACUCCGGAUCCUUCU